rnacentral:RNase_P_RNA from 1 species
AGAUGGUCGGAUGGCCGCUGGUGGACCUGGCUUUGCUUGGUGCCACUGGAGGAAAGUCCGGGCUCCACGGAAACACGGUGCCGGGUAACACCCGGCGGGGGCGACCCUAGGGAAAGUGCCACAGAAAGCAAACCGCCUGGCCGAUGAUUACGAUCAUUCGCUCGGUAAGGAUGAAAGGGUGCGGUAAGAGCGCACCGCAGCACCGGCAACGGCGCUGGCAUGGUAAACCCCACCGGGAGCAAGACCAUGUAGGGACGGCCGGCACGAUGCAUUGCUUUUGUGUUGCAGGCGUGCGAGCGGGUUUUCGCGUCAGUCGUCCGGGUCGGUCGCGUGAGGCGGUUGGUAACAAUCGUCCCAGAGGAAUGGCCAUCAAUGGCGAGGCAACUCGCCGGAACAGAACCCGGCUUACAGACUAUCUGAU